CGGGGUGCACCAGGCGCGAAAACUCUACAAUGCAGGCAACUGCGAUAGGGGAACAUCGAGUGAUCCUCAUAUUGGGGGUCUGUCCACCCGCCUAAAAAGCGGGUGUUAGCAAGGGCCGGGCAAGACCGGUGCCAGCCGCCGCGGUGAUACCGGCGGCUCGAGUGGUGGCCGAUAUUAUUGAGUCUAAAGGGUCCGUAGCCGGCUUUGCAAGUCUCUCGGGAAAUCCAGCGGCUUAACCGUUGGUCGUCCGGGGGGUACUACAUUGCUUGGGACUGGGAGAGGUAGGAGGUACUCAGGGGGUAGGAGUGAAAUCCUGUAAUCCUUUGGGGACCACCGGUGGCGAAGGCGUCCUACCAGAACAGGUCCGACGGUGAGGGACGAAAGCUAGGGGCACGAACCGGAUUAGAUACCCGGGUAGUCCUAGCCGUAAACGAUGCUCGCUAGGUGUCACAACAGUCGUGAACUGUUGUGGUGCCGUAGGGAAGCCGUGAAGCGAGCCACUUGGGAAGUACGACCGCAAGGUUGAAACUUAAAGGAAUUGG
rnacentral:rRNA from 1 species